rfam:Oryza glumipatula chromosome 10, whole genome shotgun sequence.
AUCCCAUGAUGAGGACAGGCGGCCACAUACUCCUGAAGUCGUUCCCAUGCUUCGGGGAUUGACUCAUCCCUCGUAUGCUAGAAUCCAGAAAUCCUUCCACGAAGGGC